rnacentral:rRNA from 1 species
GAACGCGAAGAACCUUACCAGGACUUGACAUCCUCUUGACAGAUCCUUAAUCGGAUUCUUCUUCGGACAAGAGAGACAGGUGGUGCAUGGUUGUCGUCAGCUCGUGUCGUGAGAUGUUGGGUUAAGUCCCGCAACGAGCGCAACCCUUGCCAUUAGUUGCCAUCAUUUAGUUGGGCACUCUAGUGGGACUGCCGGGGAAAACUCGGAGGAAGGUGGGGAUGACGUCAAAUCAUCAUGCCCCUUAUGUUCUGGGCUACACACGUGCUACAAUGGCCGGUACAACAGGCAGCGAACCCGUGAGGGGGAGCGAAUCCCAAAAGCCGGUCCCAGUUCGGACUGUAGGCUGCAACUCGCCUACACGAAGUUGGAGUUGCUAGUAAUCGCGGAUCAGAAUGCCGCGGUGAAUGCGUUCCCGGGUCUUGUACACACC